rnacentral:tRNA from 1 species
GCUCUUAUAGCUUAAAUAAAGUGUAGUGCUGAAAACACUAAGAUGAACCCUAAAAAGUUCUGAGGGCAC